rnacentral:rRNA from 1 species
UACGUAGGGACCAAGCGUUGUUCGGAUUUACUGGGCGUAAAGGGCGCGUAGGCGGCUUGUCAAGUCACUUGUGAAAUCUCUGGGCUUAACCCAGAACGGCCAAGUGAAACUGACAUGCUAGAGUGCAGAGGGGGCAAUCGGAAUUCUUGGUGUAGCGGUGAAAUGCGUAGAUAUCAAGAGGAACACCUGAGGUGAAGACGGGUUGCUGGGCUGACACUGACGCUGAGGCGCGAAAGCCAGGGGAGCAAACGGG